rnacentral:lncRNA from 1 species
CAAUCCACUUGGAACCUCUAAGAAAAAGCACAAAAUAUCAGCAGUAUAUUGGGUUUUGGCCAAUAUGCCUCCUGAAUUGCGAUCUACUCUGACAUCAAUACAUUUGGCUAUUCUUAGCAAAGGUGAUGAUGUAAGAAGGUUUGGAUAUGAUGCAGUUUUGGAACCACUUUUGAAAGAUAUUUGUGUCUUAGAACAGGAAGGAGUUUUCAUUGCUAGUGUUGGAAAAACCAUCAAAGGGACUGUACUUUGUGUUGUAGCAGACAACCUUGGUGCCCAUUCUCUCAGUGGUUUAGUUGAAAGUUUUACUGGGGAUUACAUCUGUAGGUUCUGUUUAGGAUGUCGUAGUGAAUUCCAGCAGAAAGAAGUAAGAUCAGGGGCUUUUCCACAAAGGACAAAAGAGGCAUAUGCUGAGCAUGUUGAGACUAUGAAGGUAAAUCCUACACUUACCCAUUGUUUUGGUGUCAAAAAGGCUUGUCCACUGACAGAGAAACUGACACAUUUUCACUUUGCCUGUGGUUAUCCUCCAGAUAUAGCUCAUGACUUAUUUGAAGGUAUCAUUCCAGUAGAGCUAGCACUGUGCCUCUCUGUUCUUAUCAAGAAAAAAUACGUCACAUUAAAUGAACUGAAUGACUCAAUUAAACAAUUCCCCUACAAAUGGACUGACAAAACUAACAGCCCUCAAUCAAUACCCCAAAAUUUUGCUACUCGCCAUAGCGUAGGGGGAAAUGCACAUGAGAACUGGGCACUAAUCAGACUUCUCCCACUCUUUAUUGGGUCAAAGAUACCUUUGGAUGAACCAGCAUGGCACAUUCUCAUGAUUUUAAAAGACAUCAUUGAACUUGUCGUGUCACCUGUCCACACAGCAGAAAGUAUUGCUUUCCUUGACUUAAAGAUAUCUGAACAUCGCCAUCUCUUUUUAAGUGUGUUUCCAAAUGAACGACUGCUUCCAAAACACCACUUCUUGGAGCACUAUCCUCAAAUGAUUGAAGCCUUUGGACCACUUGUUGGAUUUUGGACAAUGCGAUUUGAAUCAAAACAUAGUUUCUUUAAACGUGUAGUGAGGCAUACUACCAACUUCAGAAAUGUUUUGCUGUCACUCACUACAAGGCACCAAAUGAUGAUGGCUUACCACUCCUAUGCAAGCACUGUGACACCUUCAGUGUGUGUCAGUAAGGUGCACAAAAUGCCUAUGGAAUUGGUACAUGCAGAGGUACAGGAGGCCAUAAGAAAAUUAUCACCAAACCAAACAAGUGUGCA